rnacentral:lncRNA from 1 species
UAUAGUAUUAGAAUUAAUAGUAAUUCUUUACCAGAAUACACAUGAGAAGGUGACAGAACCAAUAUCCCUUUAUAUAGAGUCCAGAUUGACUUUCCAUCAAAGUCUGAUUAGGAUUCUAUUUAAUUUAAAUAAAUGAAAAAAAUUCAUAACAUUAUUUUGAAAAUCGUUUCCAACACGAAAACUCAUUCUUCUGAAAUUCAGCUACCAUGAGGUGUAGAAAAUCGUUUUGCCAUAAAACUACAAGUAUAACAUUACCACUAUCACAUAUCGUAAACAGAAACACAUCAGUUAUUUAUUCUCAAAUAAACAUUCAAUUAAAUCAAACAAUCAACUAAUUGAACCAUGACACAGUCUACUUUAUUAACGAGUAAACAUAAA